rnacentral:lncRNA from 1 species
CAGCCGUGGGGUGUGCUGGGUUUCAGGUAAACAAAAGAACGUGACACCCUGAAUUGGAUGAAGAAAUAUCUUGUCUGGAAGAGAAACUGAAAACAGGAAUACUCAGAAAGACUGAAAAUAAGAGGAUGGAGAAAAUAUGUCAAGCAUUUUCUAAAAUUCAACGAGUGCUGACAGACAGGUGUCAACACCGCAACAGAGCUGGGUCAAGGUCGGACGUAUAAUAGAACAGCAGCAGCAGCAGAGGUAGGAGGAAGGAUGUAGCAGCAGCCGAAGGAGACACCGUGAGGCCAGGUCAGGGGCCCAGGAGCCUCCGCGUGGACAGCUUCAGCUCCAUCCAAGCUGCCGGAUUGGAGGGCGCCUGCCCCCAGCAGCAGGUGGCCUUAAAGAUUCAGCUCUGAGAAACAAAUGUGGAGGGGGUUUGUGGAGGGAUUAUUGUGGGGUGCGUGGGGCCCUCUGAGGUGAUCUGCUGCAGAAUAACUAAUACCUAUUGUAACAGAGGAGUAUAGAUUUAUAAAAUACAUGACAAAUGCUUAAUAAAAAAGAAAAAAGUGAAAUGAAAAAUGAAGAUCAGAGUGGUAGACAAAGGAAGAAAGGGGGAAGAGGAAGGGAGGAGGGAGGAGGAAAAUGAAGACAAGAAUAGGUUAUAAAUAAAGAUAAAAUGUGUCAAAUGAAUUUAAAAAGAAUGUAUUAUAAUCUGUACUUAAUUUCUUGCUCAAUCAUCGGAAAGUGCCCAUUUCAUGCCCUGUACAGUUACCAUAAUUCCUUUUUUCUCCACAUUCAUUUUUGUUCUAUUAUAUUUGUAGAAAUGUAAUCUUUCAUGUUUAAAGUUCAAUAAUGAAAGUACCGUCUUGUAAAAAAAAACAAAAAUAAAAAUCAAUAAAAAAUAAAAAUAAAAUAAGUAAAACGCA